rnacentral:rRNA from 1 species
AGUGAACGCUGGCGGUAGGCCUAACACAUGCAAGUCGAACGGCAGCACAGUAAGAGCUUGCUCUUACGGGUGGCGAGUGGCGGACGGGUGAGGAAUACAUCGGAAUCUACUUUUUCGUGGGGGAUAACGUAGGGAAACUUACGCUAAUACCGCAUACGACCUACGGGUGAAAGCAGGGGAUCUUCGGACCCUGCGCGAUUGAAUGAGCCGAUGUCGGAUUAGCUAGUUGGCGGGGUAAAGGCCCACCAAGGCGACGAUCCGUAGCUGGUCUGAGAGGAUGAUCAGCCACACUGGCACUGAGACACGGUCCAGACUCCUACGGGAGGCAGCAGUGGGGAAUAUUGGACAAUGGGCGCAAGCCUGAUCCAGCCAUACCGCGUGGGUGAAGAAGGCCUUCGGGUUGUAAAGCCCUUUUGUUGGGAAAGAAAAGCAGCAGGUUAAUACCCCGCUGUUCUGACGGUACCCAAAGAAUAAGCACCGGCUAACUUCGUG